GAAUUUCCAAAGUUUCGUUGCUGGUAAUCGAUUACAGACAUAUGGUAAUCGAUUACAUGUUGAAAAUUCAAAUUCAAAACCUUUUUCAAUAGCUAUUUCUCAAUCCUGUCUUCUGGUAAUCGAUUACACUUCCUGGUAAUCGAUUACCAGAGCCUUGCAUGUCUUGAAAGCACUUUGUUUUAAGGCAAUGCUUGGUCUUU
rnacentral:lncRNA from 1 species